UAAAAUGAUGUAUUUUUUUAAACACAAUUUAUGCUAGAUAGUAUCUGAAAGCAUUCAAACUUUAUGAUUACAGUGUUUUCGACAGUUUUAAAUCUCUGAAC
rfam:Saccharomyces cerevisiae FostersB chromosome III, whole genome shotgun sequence.